UCGCCUGUUUAUCAAAAACAUUUCUUUUUAAUAAAACAAAAGGUAGUCCCUGCUCAAUGAAUGUUAAAUGGCCGCGAUGUUAAAAGUUGUGCAAAGGUAGCAUAAUAAUUUUCUUUUUAAAUGGAAGGUAGGAUGAAAGGGUUUACUAGAUAUCUGCUGUGUUAGUGUGGGCUUAAAAUUUUAUUUAAAGGUUAAAAAUCCUUUAUGAAUUAAAGGGACGACAAGACCCUGGGAGCUUUGAAAUAUGAUUUUAAAUCAAAUUUAUUUAACUGGGGCGGUUUAUAAUAUAAACAUUAAAUUUAAGAAACAGAUGUAUGGAUUUAAUGAUCAUGGUUUGAGCAGAGAGAGUUAAGCUACCCCAGGGAUAACAGCGUAAUUGUUUCAGAGAGUUUAAUCUAAGAUUCAGUUUGCGACCUCGAUGUUGAAUUAAGGAGGUCCUCUUGAAGGAGAAAGCCUGGAGGGAGAGUUUGUUCAACUUUUAAAAACUUACGUGAUCUGAGUUCAGACCGGA
rnacentral:rRNA from 1 species